GACGAACGCUGGCGGCGUGCUUAACACAUGCAAGUCGAACGGAAAGGCCCAGCUUUUGGGGGGUGCUAGUGUCGAACGCGGGAGUAACACAUGAGCGUAGUCCCCCCUAGACUGGGAUAACUACUGAGGACACUGGGGCAUAUACCGGAUAUGCGAUCCUGCCGCCUGGUCGGGGUUGGAAGAUUUCUGCGGUUCGGGAUGGCCUCCCGGCUUAUCAGCUUGUUGGUGGGGUAGUGGCUUACCAAGGCUCUGACGGGUAGCCGGCCUGAGAGGGUGACCGGCCACACUGGGACUGAGAUACGGCCCAGACUCCUACGGGAGGCAGCAGUGGGGAAUAUUGCACAAUGGGCGGAAGCCUGAUGCAGCAACGCCGCGUGCGGGAUGACGGCCUUCGGGUUGUAAACCGCUUUUGCCUGGGAAGAAGCGUAAGUGACGGUACCGGCAGAAGAAGCACCGGCUAACUACGUG
rnacentral:rRNA from 1 species